rnacentral:rRNA from 1 species
GACGAACGCUGGCGGCGUGCUUAACACAUGCAAGUCGAACGGAAAGGCCCUGCUCUUGUGGGGUGCUCGUGUGGCGAACGGGUGAGUAACACGUGAGUAACCUGCCCUUGACUUUGGGAUAACUUCAGGAAACUGGGGCUAAUACCGGAUAGGAGCUACUGCUGCAUGGUGGGGGUUGGAAAGUUUCGGCGGUUGGGGAUGGACUCGCGGCUUAUCAGCUUGUUGGUGGGGUAGUGGCUUACCAAGGGUUUGACGGGUAGCCGGCCUGAGAGGGUGACCGGGCACAAGGGGACUGAGAUACGGCCCAGACGCCUACGGGAGGCAGCAGUGGGGAAUAUUGCAGAGUGGGCGGAAGCCUGAUGCAGCAACGCCGCGUGCGGGAUGACGGCCUUCGGGUUGUAAACCGCUUUGGCCUGUGACGAAGCGUGAGUGACGGUAAUGGGUAAAGAAGCACCGGCUAACUACGUG